AGCAGCCGCGGUAAUUCCAGCUCCAAUAGCGUAUAUUAAAGUUGUUGCAGUUAAAAGCUCGUAGUUGAAUUUCGGGAUCAAAGGAUCGGUCAUGCCUUGGUAUGUACUGGUUUUAUUGGUUCUCACCUUCUAAAGAACCAUAAUGUCAUUCAUUUGAUGUUAUGGGGAAUUAGGACUGUUACCUUGAAAAAUUAGAGCGUUUAAAGCAGGCUUACGCUUGAAUACAUUAGCAUGGAAUAAUGAAAUAGGACAUCAGAUUCUAUUUUGUUGGUUUCUAGGAUCGAUGUAAUGAUUAAUAGGGAUAGUUGGGGGCAUUAGUAUUCAAUUGUCAGAGGUGAAAUUCUUGGAUUUAUUGAAGACUAACUACUGCGAAGGCAUUUGCCAAGGAUGUUUUCAUUAAUCAAGAACGAAAGUUAGGGAUCGAAGACGAUCAGAUACCGUCGUAGUCUUAACCAUAAACUAUGCCGACUAGGGAUCGGAUGAUGUUAAUUUUAUAAUGAUCAUUC
rnacentral:misc_RNA from 1 species